rnacentral:lncRNA from 1 species
UCUCACUUUUCUAGGUCAUCGCUCUCCCUGUGUGGCAACCCCAGUCCAGCCAGUUGCCGCAUCCUCUUUCAGGUGUAGACUGAUCACUGACUUGCUAUGUAACCUGGCAAAAUUUUGACUUCCCGGAGCCUCAGUUUUCUGAUUAUUAUUAUCAUUACUUUAUGACCCUCCCCUCUCCAGAUCCGUGUCCCUGUCUGUAACACAGGGCUAAGCAAGUUCUUCAGCUAUUGGGUUUCAUCCACUCAACAUUCCACUGGCACUUCCAGAGCUGCCACCACACUUCAGACUCCCAAGGCUAACAAUGACCAAGAAAGACAGAUUCUCUGACAUCAUGGAGCUUACUGUCUUUAUGAAUUUCCAGGGAGAAGGGUGCUAAGAUGCUAAUAUGGAUACUAACCAUCUGAUGCAAUAUUCUCCUGCACAGAUUGUGACCUAUGACUCACUGGGACAUGAUAGAGGUCACAGAAAUGCCAAUGACAUUCCAAAGACAGUGUGGGAGUGUGUUGUCUAGCUUCUUAGAAAACCCCACCCCCACAGUGGCAUGACCCCUGCACCAUCUUCUCCCACCCUGGGAUCUCCUUCCUACCCCUCUGCCCAUGUCAAUCUGGAAGGUACUUUUAUACACACAAACACACUCCUAAUAGCAUCUAAAUUAGUCACUCUCAACCUUGGCUGUGCAUUAGUGGUGCUUACCCAUGACAGGGCUGGGCCCAGGCCACAC